rnacentral:rRNA from 1 species
UACGAAGGGUGCUAGCGUUGUUCGGAAUCACUGGGCGUAAAGCGCGCGUAGGUGGCUUUUCAAGUCAGGGGUGAAAUCCUUGGGCUCAACCCAAGAAUUGCCUUUGAAACUGCAAAGCUAGAGUGUCGGAGGGGAUAGCGGAAUUGCUAAUGUAGAGGUGAAAUUCGUAGAUAUUAGCAGGAACACCGGUGGCGAAGGCGGCUAUCUGGACGACAACUGACACUGAGGCGCGAAAGCGUGGGGAUCAAACAGG